UACGGGGGGGGCAAGCGUUGUUCGGAAUUACUGGGCGUAAAGGGCUCGUAGGCGGCCAACUAAGUCAGACGUGAAAUCCCUCGGCUUAACCGGGGAACUGCGUCUGAUACUGGAUGGCUUGAGUUUGGGAGAGGGAUGCGGAAUCCCAGGUGUAGCGGUGAAAUGCGUAGAUAUCUGGAGGAACACCGGUGGCGAAGGCGGCAUCCUGGACCAACACUGACGCUGAGUGAGCGAAAGCCAGGGGAGCAAACGGG
rnacentral:rRNA from 1 species